GUUUUAAUAGUUUAAAUAAAAACUUUGGUCUUGUAAACCAAAAAUGGAAAGUAUUUCUUAAAACU
rnacentral:tRNA from 1 species